UAAGUCUGAUAUUAACGCAGACAGUGAAUGCCUUGGUGUAAGUUGCCGAAGAAGGACGCACAUGGUAGCGAUAUUCGUCGGGGAGGAGCCACGAUCCUGUGAUCCGGCGGUGUCCGAAUGGAGAAAUCCGACCGAGUUCAUACUCGAUCACUCCGUGAUAAAAAUAAUUUACGCAAGUAAGUUGUAUAGUCGCGGUAGAGGGAACCGUCCAAACUGAAACAUCUAAGUAGGGCGAGGAAGAGAAAUCAAUAGAUAUUCCGUCAGUAGCGGAGAGCGAAAGCGGAAAAGCCCAAACCCGCCCGUGCGUAGCACUGGAAGUUCCAAUUUCCAAUCACCAAUUUCCAAAUAAUUUCAAAUUUCAAAUGACAAAUUUUCAAAACAUUUCUAAUCUUAAAGGAGUUUUGAGUUUUUGAUUUUGAAUUUCGAGUUUGUUUGGGAUUUGGAAUUUGGGUUUUGGAAUUUCUCAUGCUGCGCAUGAGUGGGGGUUGUAGGAGCCCGAUGUGGGAGUCGACUUGGUAGCAGAAUUAUCUGGAAUGGUAGAUCAUAGAGAGUGAAAAUCUCGUAUGCAAAAUUAAGUCGACCUCUAGGGAUUUCCUGAGUACCACGAUUUAAAUCUUCGUGGGAAGCUGGGGGAGUCAUCCUCCAAGGCUAAAUACAACUUGCAACCGAUAGUGAACUAGUACCGUGAGGGAAAGGCGAAAAGAAGGGCGAGACGCCCAGUGAAAUAGAACCUGAAACUGUUUGCGGACAAACCGAGAGAGCCUGUUCUUCGAACAGGAAAUUUCAAAAGACAAAUAACAAAUUACAAACAAGUUCCAAAUAACAGAACCCAAUAUAUAGUUUUAAAAAGUUUUGCAAUUUGUGAAUUAAUUAUUGUUUGUAUAUUGGAAAUUGGUAAUUGGAGUUUCCCGCUCGGAGAGCGGGUGAUCUCGUGCCUAUUGAAGAAUGAGCCGGCGAGUUACCGCGUAGCGCAUAGUCUAACCGAGUCUGACUCGGGGAGGCGUAGGGAAACCAAGUCUGAAUAGGGCGAUUAGCGCGAAGUGGUAGACCCGAAACCGGGUGAUCUAUCCAUGAGCAGGGUGAACCCCGACGAAAGUCGGGGGGAGGCCCGAACCGGUGUAAGUUGCAAUUUGCUCGGAUGACUUGUGGAUAGGGGUAAAAUGCCAAACGAACCCGGAGAUAGCUGGUUCUCCCCGAAAGGUCUAUAGGGACCGUGGUACGUAAGGUGUUGCCGAUGGUAGAGCUACUGAAUGGGUAAGCGAGGGUAACCGAGUUUACUCAAUCAAACUCCGAAUAGCGGUAAACAUUAACGUACUAAACAGUCGCAUCGGGCUAAGCUGAUGCGGCGAAAGGGAAACAUCCCAGACUCUCAGCUAAGGCCUCUAAAUUACAGCUAAGUUUCAAAGGAAGUUCNNNNNNNNNNNNNAGCGUAACAGCUCACUGGUCGAGGUUGUGGGCGCCGAAGAUUUAUCGAGGAUAAGCUGUAUGCCGAAGCUGGAGAUGCCUGUUCGUAGAACAGGAAAUUUCAAAUAAUAAAUGCCAAGUAACAAACCCUUCGAUUUUACUCAGGGUCCUGAGCAGGUCGAAGGACAAAUUCCAAAUAAUAAAAUCCCAAUGAAUAAAAAAGUUUUUAGAUUUUAAGAUUUGUGAUUUAAAUUUUGUUUGUAAAUUGGAUAUUGAAAAUUGGAGUUUCCCGCUCUGCGAGCGGGUGUGGUAGGGGAGCGUUCCGUAUCCAGUGAAGUUAAGCCGUAAGGCUUGGUGGAGGAUACGGGAGUGAGAAUGCCGGCAUGAGUAGCGUACUAUCCCGGAGAGAAUCCGGGACACCGAAUGCCCGAGGAUUCCGUCGCGAGGUUCGUCCCCGACGGGUUAAUCGGUACCUAACCUAAGGCCAAAUGGCGUAGGGGAUGGAUAACUGGUCAAAAUUCCAGUAUUUAUUUUGAAUCGAAAGCCCUUGUGCUUUGCACAAGGAAAUUACAAUAAACAAACACCAAUUUCCAAACAAAUUCCAAAUUGCAAUUAAGAAAAAUAAAAUAAUUGUGAUUUGUUAAUUAAUAUUUGUUUGUAAUUUGUAAAUUGUGUUUUGUGAUUUUCUCGCGCAGAGCACGAGGUAAUUGGGGGUUGACUGGAUAGGAUGGUUGAAGCCUCAUAACGAUUUGGGGUGUAAGUUAUAAGAUAGUGUCAGCAGGAAAAUCCGCUAAUACGUUUAAUCAAGUAGCGAUGCAGAGUCUUGCGCAAGCAAGACAAUUUCAUCCCAUUCAAUCUACAAGAAAAGACUCGCAGUGAGAUUCAAGGUAAGCCGUACCGCAAACCGACACAGGUGGGCUGGUCGAGAAGACUAAGGUGAUCGAGAGAAAGAGGUUCAAGGAACUCGGCAAAAAAUCUGGACGUAAGUUCGCAAGAUGUCCUCCCUGAAAAAUCUUCGGAUUUUUUAGGGUACAACAAAAGAGUGCUAACCGACUGUUUAUCAAAAACACAGGUCCGUGCAAAAGCGAAAGCUAAGGUAUACGGGCUGACGCCUGCCCAGUGCCGGUAAGUGAAGGGGAUGGGUUUUACGGAUUUAUCCGUAAGGCCUUGAACUCAAGCUCCGGUAAACGGCGGCUUUAACUAUAAGAGUCCUACGGUAGCGAAGUUCCUUGUCGUGUAAGUUACGACCCGCACGAAAGGCGUUACGAGUUAGCAACUGUCUCGAGCCUCUACUCGGCGAAAUUGCGUUGGCUGUGAAGACGCGGCCUACUUCCACCAGGACAAAAAGACCCCGUGGAGCUUUAAGGGGACACUGAAACACCUCCCUUUGGAACGUGGCAAGACUUACCUAACGUCCUUGCAAACAGGUCGAGGAAAAGUGCUAGGUGGGCAGUUUUACUGGGGCGGUACCCUGCCAAAAGGUAACGCAGGGGUACAAAGGUUGGCUUAGCACGGAUGGACAUCGUGCUGAAUGUAUAAAGGCAUAAGCCAGCUUGAUAGCGACUGCGACGGCAGAAGCUAGUACGAAAGUAGGUCUUAGUGAUCCUCCGAUUGCCUAGUGAUAGGCACGGAGCUUAACGGAUAAAAGCUACCCCGGGGAUAACAGAGUAGUCGCACCCGAGAGUCCAUAUCGACGGUGCGGUUCGCUACCUCGAUGUCGGCUCACCGCAUCCUGGGGCUGGAGAAGGUCCCAAGGGUUGGUCUGUUCGCCCAUUAAAGCGGUACGCGAGCUGGGUUCAGAACGUCGUGAGACAGUUGAGUCCGAUAACAUAUCGGACUGACACCAAGCGGUCUCAUCCCUUGACUGACUGAAAUACACAUCGAAGGAUUAGUAACUAAUUUGUUAUCAACAAUCGUUUAUAAGGAUAUAUUAAACGGUUUAAUUUAAAUAUUUAAAUUUGAUCUUUUUGUCUAAAUAGGAAAGAGGGAAUAUAAAUCUGACUAUAUGCUGGAAACUCCGGUGUAUCCUGUGCUACUCUUGAAAAAGAGUGAAAAAGCAACAGGUGCGGACAAUCAGCAGGAAAGGCCUCAUUAGAUAUGGAAUUAUCUAAUGGGGAAUCCUCAACGACUAUACGUCAGAAUACGUUCAGUUUACAUGAACGUAUAAGAUAUAGUCUGAUCUCCAUGGCGACUUGGAGGGUUGAAAAUCGUUCAGCCGUAAAAACAAGCGGAGUAUUGAUAUACUAAAUGUCGGACUCUAUCCGGUGGAAGCGUUCGAGUCUUGAAGGGAGCUGGCCUCAGUACGAGAGGACCAGGCCGGGGGAAUCCCUGGUGUGCCGGUUGUGGCAUCAGCCGCAACGCCGGGUAGCUACAUUCCCAAGGGAUAACCGCUGAAAGCAUAUAAGUGGGAAGCCCCCCCUAAGAUUAGGACUCGUUAUUAGAUCCCUAGAAGAAUACUAGGUUGUUCGACAGGCGGUGGAAGUCGCGUAAGCGAUUAAGCCUACCUUGUACGAAUCGAUCGAUUUCAGACUUACU
rnacentral:rRNA from 1 species